CAUGUUAUCUUUUAUCUAUUGGACUAAAACUAACAUCACAGAAUGAAAAUGGAGAACUUUGAAUAAUAUGAACAUCUUUGAACUAUUUCUCAAUCAAGUACUUGGAAAAGUAGCGUUUGUCAUAGGGUGCAGCUGGUAAAACCACAGUUCUUCACUGCUGAUGGGAAUGUAAACUAGUGUAAUCACUGUGGAAAACAGUGUGGAGAUCCUUAAGGAACUAAAAGGAGAACUACCAUUUGAUCCAGCAACCCCACUUCCAGGUAUCUGCCCAGAGGAAAAGAAGUCAUUAUAUGAAAAAGAUACUUGCACAGGCAUGUUUAUAGCAGCAAAAUUGACAAUUGCAAAAAUAUGGAACCAGCCCAAAUGCCUAUCAAUCAACCAGUGGUUGAGGAAAUUGUGGUAUAUACAUAUAUAUAUGAUGGAAUACUACUCAGCCAUAACAGGAACAAAUGAAUGCCAUUCGCAGCAACCUGGAUGGAACUGGAGACCAUUAUCCUAAGUGAAGAAACUCAGGCAUGGAAAGUCAAACAUCACAUGUUCUCACUCAUAAGGGGGAGCUAAGCUGUGAAGAUGCAAAGGCAUAUGAUUGAUAUAAUGGACUUUAGGGACUUGGGGAAAAUGGUGGGAGGGGGUGAGGAAUAAAAGGGAUAAAAGACUACAAAUUGGGUUCAGUGUAUAUUGCUCAGAUGAUGGGUGCACCAAAUUCUCACAAAUCACCACUAAAGAACUUUACUCAUGUAACCAAAUACCAACUGUUCCCCAAAAACCUGUGGAAAUAAAAAAUUUUUAAAAAGUGAA
rnacentral:lncRNA from 1 species